GGGGAGUGGGGCGUGCUAUACAUGCAAGUCGAGCGCAGGAAGUUAUCUGAUCCUCUUUUAGAGGUGACGAUAAUGGAAUGAGCGGCGGACGGGUGAGUAACACGUAGGCAACCUGCCUGUAAGACUGGGAUAACUCGUGGAAACGCGAGCUAAUACCGGAUAACACUUUUCAUCUCCUGAUGAGAAGUUGAAAGGCGGCUUUUGCUGUCACUUACAGAUGGGCCUGCGGCGCAUUAGCUAGUUGGUAAGGUAAUGGCUUACCAAGGCGACGAUGCGUAGCCGACCUGAGAGGGUGAUCGGCCACACUGGGACUGAGACACGGCCCAGACUCCUACGGGAGGCAGCAGUAGGGAAUCUUCCGCAAUGGACGAAAGUCUGACGGAGCAACGCCGCGU
rnacentral:rRNA from 1 species